rnacentral:lncRNA from 1 species
UUUUCACUUCUCUCCCGUGAAUUUGGCGUCUGAAGAGCCAAUUUCAGUUUUUGUAUAUCGAAGGCAAGCUAUCAAUACUUUCAUGUCCUUCGUUUUUCCUUAUUCUCAAGCCAUGCGAAGCAAAUCCUAGGGUUUUAGGCUUUUUCAACUCCUUGGUCUUUAAAUUUCUUAUUCGUUGUGAUGUUUCGAAUUUUAUUUUUGCAGUCACAUUGAAGGUCAUAUGAUUUUCAGGACCCGAAUUCAUUGAAACUGGUAUGCAUAAUUUUUUAUUUUUUUUAUAUAUUUGUGCAAUUUUAGCAAUAUUGAGCAUUUUAUUGCCUUGAUUUUUAUUUUUGUUUGGAAAGUGAAGGAUAAAUAUAUACUCAGAUACUGAAUUUCCCACAAAUAUUUCGAGGUUAUGGGUUUAUUUGAGAUAAUGUUUGACUAGAUGGGCAACUAAUAGGAUUAAGGUUUGAAGAUUUUCGAACUGGCCAGCUCUUAACAAGUUUUCAUCUUCAAGCAGUGGUUCAUUGUAAAAGUUUUUCGACAACACUAAAAUGCUGAGGUUCUUGAAUCCUAUUAGGAAGGAAGCCAAUUUGAAAUUUGCAAGUUUAUUUAUUUCAUUGAUUGUAUAUGAUCUUAUUGGAACAUGAUUGGAUUCUACUGUCCAUGAGUUAUUAGUCCCUCUAAUUGCAAGCAGUUUUCCUGGGUUAUUAAUUAUUACUUGCACAAGGGAAGUACUUAUUCUACCAAAAAAAAAAAAAAGGAGUAUAGUACUAGAACUGAUCUAUCAUAGUAAAUAAUGCAAAUAUAUUUGCUGGGGGCCGGUUUCAUGAGAACGGUUGCUUUCAUCUUCAUCACAAGAUCCUCAUUUGUUAAAUUCUUUGUUGUAUUUAGGUUAACUAUUAGAAUUUUUUUAAUGAAUAUACGUUGAUGAAGUGAACAUUCUAGUUAACUAAUGGCACUAAACCAAAUGUGUUUUAAAUAAUCUAACUUAAGAAUAUUCAUUCCAGUAGCUUUUUUUGGUUGACAUAGUUCGUUGUUUUAACUUAAAAUUACUAACGACAUAUUCUCUUUUGUAUGAUUUAUGUGAAUAAAGUGAAAUACAUGAUAUACAUAUUCUCUUUUGUAAGAUCUUGUAAAUUAUGUCUAUCUAGUACUUGUAGCUUAUCAUCUUGUUUUUUCUUGAUCUAACCCAGAGGCUUCUCCUCUUAUGAUUGAAAAGAAAUGAUUCUUGUCUUGUCUGUCUAGUACUAUUUGUCAAUUAAUGUUUGGUUUUAAUAUUUGUAGCUUUCUUUAAUCAGACUGACAUCCUCAACAGCCAGAGGCAAAGCCAAGAUCGAACUACAAGCUGAGCUAACAUGUAAAAAUAUAUAUAAAUUUACACAAAAAAAAAAAAAAAAUUUUGCCCUAAAAAACAUUAAGUGGGCUGGAGAGGGGACUGGGCUACAGCCCAAUCCAAUCCCCCCUUAGAUCCGCCUCUGUCGAUCGCUG